rnacentral:rRNA from 1 species
UGGUGGAGUGAUUUGUCUGGUUUAUUCCGUUAACGAACGAGACCUCAGCCUGCUAAAUAGUUCGUGCUGCCCUUGGCAGUCGUGAGCUUCUUAGAGGGACUAUUCUGUGUCUAACGAAAGGAAGCUUGAGGCAAUAACA